CUCUCCUCUCCAUCUUCAUCUUCAUCUCCAUCUCGAUCUGCUCAGCUGAGCUCUUCAUUCUCUUCUCAAUCUCUGAACUCUAUCAUCGUGUAGAAGUGUAUCAUCAGGUAAUGACAGUGUUGUAUUGUGGUUCCGCACUAGGGUAAAAUUUAGGCGGAAAAGUUGGUUAUUUUGAAUUGCGGGUAUGAAGGAACGGCAAACUCUUCGAGAUGGGUUCUCGACGUACUUGUCAGAUGUUGAUGAUGAUAAAUUAGAUACUUCAGGAGACUCUAUUAAAGGAAUCGGUGAAUCCUUCAUGGAUAUUAUGUCAUUUCUUCCUUUUUAUUUGGUUACCAUCUUGGGGUAGUGAGAGAACCACUUGAAAGUA